rfam:Serratia symbiotica genome assembly, type strain CWBI-2.3T, contig: SYMBAF_Contig_10
GGUAUUCCUUAUCUAUCUAAUGGUUUAUUUGGAGCCAGUCUUCCGGUGUUUUAUGACAAAACACCGGAAGACUGGCCCAUCAUUUGAUUGCAGCAAAUUCAGCCAAG